rnacentral:lncRNA from 1 species
AGUUAAAAAAAUUGACUUAAUAACUUAACAACUUAAUGACUAAAAAUUUUCAUUAAGUUGAAAAUCAAACAAAUUUAAUGACUUAACUGAUUGAAAUUAAAUCAAAUAUGUCAUUAAAUUUAAAACAAAAAAACAAAAAAUAAAAAAAACAAACGCACCCUAAGACAAAUCUACCUUCAACACGCAUAAAAAUGACUAAGAAAAAAAGCCGCACAAAGGAGGAGCGUGGGUUGGGUAGGCAUAGCCAGCCACAAGCAGUGAAGGCAUUAGAUGAGAGAAUGACGAGCAUAGUGCAAUACAACCCCCUCCCAUUUUACGUUUAAAUUUUAAGUUCUCAAUUCUAGCUCCAAAGUUUUCGUUUUUAAGUAACUAACUUAUGAUAUAUUGUGCAUAAUGUAUCGUAAUUAGGUGAUUAACAAUAAAAAAUUUGAAAGACCUAGAAAAAAUUUAGAUUUAGACCAAUUUUGAUAUCUUAUUAAUUUGUCAUUAAAAGUAAUUAUAUCCUCAACUCCUCAAGAAUAUUGAAAAUAUAAUUAACCAUUACAAGCUUCUAAUAAUAUUUCAU